rnacentral:lncRNA from 1 species
UUUUAAAUGAAGAAUCAUAUUUUAGGCUCAACCCUCGUUGCCAUUUUCAUUCUGUAAUUGGGAAAUCAAAACCCUUCCCUUAGAAAAUCCAAACCCAUUUAUACAAUUUCAGGUAACUACCUACCGAUUUUGGUCAGCCACCGCUACGAUUCUGAUUGUGAUGUUGAUUGCACCUGUUGCUAUCCUUCCACCAUCAGGAGUAGGGAUUGAUGCUAUACGGAAAUGGAAUCGACAAACAACAACAAAAUCUGGAAUGUGGGCCUUUUGCUAGGGGCGACUCUGUUAGCGGGAAAACUAAUUUCGGCAUUAAUAAUGUCCAGAUCCAAGAAACGACGGUAGUCUUUUUGGUCGGUGCUCGGUGGGCUUUUACGAUUUUUGAAGGGGUCAGUGGUGCUGAGGGAAGAGUACCCAAAGCUUGGUAGCAUGUUCUGCCUGUCAUAGUUGACAUGUGCCACGGUAGGAAUUGAUAGUUUAGGUUUAUAUUAAUUUGAUUCCAGCUUUCCUUAAUUUGAAUUUCUUUAUGAUUGGAUUUUGAAUUGUAAAUAUCAGCAUGAUAUUAUAGUUAUGGCCG